rnacentral:rRNA from 1 species
AACGAACGCUGGCGGCAUGCCUAACACAUGCAAGUCGAACGAGACCUUCGGGUCUAGUGGCGCACGGGUGCGUAACACGUGGGAAUCUGCCCUUUGCUUCGGAAUAACAGUUAGAAAUGACUGCUAAUACCGGAUGAUGUCGAAAGACCAAAGAUUUAUCGGCAAAGGAUGAGCCCGCGUAGGAUUAGGCAGUUGGUGGGGUAAAGGCCUACCAAGCCGACGAUCCUUAGCUGGUCUGAGAGGAUGAUCAGCCACACUGGGACUGAGACACGGCCCAGACUCCUACGGGAGGCAGCAGUGGGGAAUAUUGGACAAUGGGCGAAAGCCUGAUCCAGCAAUGCCGCGUGAGUGAUGAAGGCCUUAGGGUUGUAAAGCUCUUUUACCAGGGAUGAUAAUGACAGUACCUGGAGAAUAAGCUCCGGCUAACUCCGUG